UACGAAGGGAGCUAGCGUUGUUCGGAAUCACUGGGCGUAAAGCGCACGUAGGCGGAUUUGUCAGUCAGGGGUGAAAUCCCGGGGCUCAACCUCGGAACUGCCUUUGAUACAGCAAGUCUUGAGUUCGAGAGAGGUGGGUGGAAUUCCUAGUGUAGAGGUGAAAUUCGUAGAUAUUAGGAAGAACACCGGUGGCGAAGGCGGCCCACUGGCUCGAUACUGACGCUGAGGCGCGAAAGCGUGGGGAGCAAACAGG
rnacentral:rRNA from 1 species